UACGUAGGGUGCGAGCGUUAAUCGGAAUUACUGGGCGUAAAGCGUGCGCAGGCGGUUCGUUGUGUCGGCGGUGAAAGCCCCGGGCUUAACCCGGGAAUGGCCGUUGAAACUGGCGAACUGGAGUGUGGCAGAGGGGGGUGGAAUUCCGCGUGUAGCAGUGAAAUGCGUAGAGAUGCGGAGGAACACCGAUGGCGAAGGCAGCCCCCUGGGCUAACACUGACGCUCAGGCACGAAAGCGUGGGGAGCAAACAGG
rnacentral:rRNA from 1 species